rnacentral:rRNA from 1 species
UACGAAGGGGGCUAGCGUUGCUCGGAAUCACUGGGCGUAAAGGGUGCGUAGGCGGGUCUUUAAGUCAGGGGUGAAAUCCUGGAGCUCAACUCCGGAACUGCCUUUGAUACUGGGGAUCUCGAGUCCGGGAGAGGUGAGUGGAAUUGCGAGUGUAGAGGUGAAAUUCGUAGAUAUUCGCAAGAACACCAGUGGCGAAGGCGGCUCACUGGCCCGGUACUGACGCUGAGGUGCGAAAGCGUGGGGAGCAAACAGG